rnacentral:rRNA from 1 species
AUGGCUCAGGAUGAACGCUAGCGGCAGGCUUAACACAUGCAAGUCGAGGGGCAACGCGAGUAGCAAUACUUGGCGGCGACCGGCGCAAGGGUGCGUAACGCGUGAGCAACAUGCCCGUAUCAGGGGGAUAAUCCAGGGAAACUUGGUCUAAUACCCCAUAGUAAUUUUGUAAGGCAUCUUAUAAGAUUUAAAGCUUUGGUGGAUACGGAUUGGCUCGCGUGACAUUAGCUGGAUGGUAAGGUAACGGCUUACCAUGGCUAUGAUGUCUAGGGGUUCUGAGAGGAAGGUCCCCCACACUGGAACUGAGACACGGUCCAGACUCCUACGGGAGGCAGCAGUGAGGAAUAUUGGACAAUGGAUGGAAAUCUGAUCCAGCCAUGCCGCGUGAAGGAAAGAAGGUCCUAUGGAUUGUAAACUUCUUUUGUAUGGGAGCAAUAAGGCCUACGAGUAGGCUGAUGAGAGUACCAUACGAAUAAGCACCGGCUAACUCCGUGCCAGCAGCGGC